UACGUAGGGUGCAAGCGUUGUCCGGAAUUAUUGGGCGUAAAGAGCUCGUAGGCGGUUUGUUGCGUCGGCUGUGAAAUCCCGAGGCUCAACCUCGGGUCUGCAGUCGAUACGAGCAAACUAGAGUGUUGCAGGGGAGACUGGAAUUCCUGGUGUAGCGGUGAAAUGCGCAGAUAUCAGGAGGAACACCGGUGGCGAAGGCGGGUCUCUGGGCAACAACUGACGCUGAGGAGCGAAGGCGUGGGGAGCAAACAGG
rnacentral:rRNA from 1 species